rnacentral:rRNA from 1 species
CCCUACGGGACGCAGCAGUGGGGAAUAUUGCACAAUGGGGGAAACCCUGAUGCAGCGACGCCGCGUGAGUGAAGAAGUAAUUCGUUAUGUAAAGCUCUAUCAGCAGGGAAGAAAAUAACGGUACCUGAGUAAGAAGCCCCGGCUAACUACGUGCCAGCAGCCGCGGUAAUACGUAGGGGGCAAGCGUUAUCCGGAUUUACUGGGUGUAAAGGGAGCGUAGACGGCAGUGCAAGUCUGGAGUGAAAG